CUUUUGUUGUGAAAGUAUGAACUCAAGAGGACACCAUGAUUUUCUUGAGUGCUCUGGCUGCUUGGGUUCCUGGCAUGCUGAUUUGUGACUUAAGAUUAAAAUCACAUUGCCAGGGAUUACCACGCAGCCAUGACGUUGGCUGCUCUUCCA
ensembl:miRNA sha-mir-23b sha-mir-23b